GGAGUCAGACUACGAGUGAUAAGAUCCGUGGUCAAAAGGGAAACAGCCCAGACCACCAGCUAAGGUCCCCAAUGUCGUACUAAGUGGAAAAGGAUGUGGGGUUUCAUAAACAACCAGGAUGUUGGCUCAGAAGCAGCCACCAUUUAAAGAGUGCGUAAUAGCUCACUGGUCGAGAGACCCUGCGCCGAAGAUUCCCGGGGCUAAAGUACGAAACCGAAGCUGUGGCUGUAUACGUAAAGUAUACGGGGUAGGGGAGCGUUCCCAUAGGGUAGAAGUCGAACUGGAAGGUUCGGUGGACUUGUGGGAAGUGAGAAUGUUGGUAUGAGUAGCGAAAAGAAAGGUGAGAAUCCUUUCCACCGAAAGCAUAAGGAUUCCUGAGCAACGAUCGUCGUCUCAGGGUAAGUCGGGACCUAAUCCGAGGCAGAGAGCGUAGGAGAUGGACAACUGGUUGAUAUUCCAGUACCGGUAGUAAUUGUUUGAGCAAUGGAGUGACACAGAAGGGCAGGCAAGCAUGCGAAUGGAAGAGCAUGUGUAAGCGUGUAGGGUGGUGCAUAGGCAAAUCCGUGCACUGAAAGCCUGAGGCGUGAUGCGGAGUGAGCAGAGAUGCGAGCGAAGUUGUUGACCCCACACUGUCGAGAAAAGCUUCUAGUGAGAGAGCUACCGCCCGUACCGUAAACCGACACAGGUAUGCGGGGAGAGAAUCCUAAGGUGCGCGGGAGAACCCUCGUUAAGGAACUCGGCAAAAUGUACCCGUAACUUCGGGAUAAGGGUAGCCACUGUUGUGAAGUCCCAUGCGGAUGGAGCAUAGAGUGGUCGCAGAGAAGAGGCCCAAGCGACUGUUUACCAUAAACACAGGUGCCUGCUAAAGCGAAAGCUGACGUAUAGGUGCUGACACCUGCCCAGUGCCGGAAGGUUAAGGAAGGAUGUUCGGAUUAGUCCAAAGCAUUCGACUGAAGCCCCGGUGAACGGCGGCCGUAACUAUAACGGUCCUAAGGUAGCGAAAUUCCUUGUCGGGUAAGUUCCGACCCGCACGAAAGGUGUAACGAUUUGGGCACUGUCUCAACGAGGGACCCGGUGAAAUUGAAAUACCUGUGAAGAUGCAGGUUACCCGCGACUGGACAGAAAGACCCCAUGGAGCUUUACUGCAGCUUGAGAUUGAAUCCCGGUGGCAGACGCACAGGAUAGGUGGGAGGCUUUGAGAUAGUGACUUUGGUUGCUAUGGAGCCGACGUUGGGAUACCACCCUUCUGUUGCUGGGAUUCUAACGCGAAGAUUAACAACCUUGCGGACCAUCUCAGGUAGGCGGUUUGACUGGGGCGGUCGCCUCCGAAAGAGUAACGGAGGCGCCCAAAGGUUCCCUCAGCGCGGCCGGAAAUCGCGCGAAGAGUGUAAAGGCAGAAGGGAGCUUGACUGCGAGUCAAACACGACGAGCAGGUACGAAAGUAGGGCUUAGUGAUCCGGUGGUACCGAGUGGAAGGGCCAUCGCUCAACGGAUAAAAGCUACCCUGGGGAUAACAGGCUAAUCUCUCCCAAGAGUCCAUAUCGACGGGGAGGUUUGGCACCUCGAUGUCGGCUCAUCACAUCCUGGGGCUGAAGUCGGUCCCAAGGGUUGGGCUGUUCGCCCAUUAAAGUGGUACGCGAGCUGGGUUCAGAACGUCGUGAGACAGUUCGGUCCCUGUCUCUUAUACACAUCUCCGAGCCCACGAG
rnacentral:rRNA from 1 species